rnacentral:sRNA from 21 species
GUCAGCACCCCGCUCUGAAGAAACGGGGCUUCGUGCCUCUGCCUUUAGGUAGCUGACCCGCUUAAGUCCUUAACUGGACUACGUUAUCGGCAAGAGUUAAAGUUCGUACCUGCGAAUACGUGAUGCCAGUUCGCUGCUCUACA